AACAAAUCAAAUUUUAAGUUUUUAGAUACAAUGUUUGAUUGUUCGUCUUAUUAAAAAAAUUUACAAUUAAUAAUUUUAUUUUUAUUAAAUGAUAAAACAUAAAUAAUACUUUAUGUGUAACUAAUUUUUUAAAAAAAAUAAAAAAAUUUCAAAUAAGACUGAUGGUCAAAUGCUCGACGAAAAACCGAAAAGCUGGUUUCUUU
rnacentral:pre_miRNA from 1 species